rnacentral:lncRNA from 1 species
AUUCCAUUUCUACUUAUUUUCUUUUGUUUUUCACUCAAUGCUCACCCAUUGUCUCUCCACUCCCUCUACUGGUAAAGGCAGCUUUUUAUUCAUUUUUCUUCUUCUUUGCCGUUCCUUUCUUCUUCUACAAAACAUGAAUAAUGAUGAUGUUUCAAACAUCAUCAUGACUUAUCAUUAUUAUUUUAUUUAAAAGCUGAUCUACACAGACAGUUUUGACGAAUUUAUUACAUAAAAUUUCACUUGUUCUAUUUUUAUUUUCUUUGCUAGACAAAUCCUAUAAUACGCAAAAACAAAGUAAAUAGCUCAAAAAUAUAAGGAACUAACUAAGAAAAGACGAGUGAAUUCGAAGUAAAAAUAUAUAUAAAUAUGAUCCAAUCAAAUACCCCCACACUUAACUUUUGCUAGUCCUCGAGCAAAACAAAGAAAACAUGAGAAAGAACUAACAUGAAAAACAUUAGCUUCCCCCUAUGUGACCCUCAUAGAAUUUCAUUUAAGAAAACAAAUCAUCAAGAACCAUAGCUAGCAUCAAGGAACUAAUCCAAGUUCAUCUUCCUUAUUCAAAUAUUAGCAGUAAUCUUUGAAUCAUCCUUGAAGUGUAGUGUGUGAGAUAGCCAUGCUAAUACAAUUUCAAGUUUUUAUUUUUAAAAUCAUCAUAUGCAAACUAGUGACCUUCUCACGGGAUAUACACUCAAUCACAUAUGUGUUUAGUUUUAGUGUGUUUCGCUCAAAGAAUCAAAUGUGAAAUUUCUACCAUAAGCUUGCAUAAAGAUCACUUCUCCACAGUCAUAAUUGCAAAACUUAAAUUAAGAGGACUUUUAUUGGAUGUAAUGAGGCUUAGGGAUAGGGUUAUUGAAACGAAAGAAUAGGAAAACACAAGUUCCAAGCUACAUUGCAAGCAAUUCUUUUCUUUAGAUUUAUAAGAACUCAAGCUCUCCAGCAAUUCUUCUAGCACCUCCAACCAUACUCUAAAACUGAAACUUUAAAAACUUUUUAUUUUCUUUGUAUACAAUCUUUCUUUUUCUUUUCUUCUUCUUUUUUAUUUUUUUAUUUUUUUAUUUUAAAUACAAACAUGAAAUACUCCCACACUUAUUCUUUUGCCAAACACCUUCAAAGUACUUCACAAACGUAUCUCAUAAGACAAUCUCGCAUUGCUCGCUUGGAAAGGGUAAGGAAAAAUGUUUC